UACGGGGGGGGCAAGCGUUGUUCGGAAUUACUGGGCGUAAAGGGCUCGUAGGCGGCCAACUAAGUCAGACGUGAAAUCCCUCGGCUUAACCGGGGAACUGCGUCUGAUACUGGAUGGCUGGAGUUUGGGAGAGGGAUGCGGAAUUCCAGGUGUAGCGGUGAAAUGCGUAGAUACCUGGAGGAACACCGGUGGCGAAGGCGGCAUCCUGGACCAAUACUGACGCUGAGGAGCGAAAGCCAGGGGAGCAAACGGG
rnacentral:rRNA from 1 species